rnacentral:rRNA from 1 species
GCAGUGUACCCGCGGCAAGACGGAAAGACCCCGUGAACCUUUACUAUAGCUUGACACUGAACACUGGUCCUUGAUGUGUAGGAUAGGUGGGAGGCUUUGAAGCGUGGACGCCAGUCUGCGUGGAGCCGACCUUGAAAUACCACCCUUUAAUGGCUGGUGUUCUAACGUAGACCCGUGAUCCGGGUUGCGGACAGUGUCUGGUGGGUAGUUUGACUGGGGCGGUCUCCUCCCAAAGAGUAACGGAGGAGCACGAAG